GAUCAUGGCUCAGAACGAACGCUGGCGGCAUGGAUUAGGCAUGCAAGUCGAACGAAGCAGCAAUGCUUAGUGGCGGAAGGGUGAGGAACGCGUGAGCAACCUGCCCUCAAGUUGGGAAUAACAGUUGGAAACGACUGCUAAUACCGAAUGUGGCUUUUUGGACCGCAUGGUUUGAAGGCUAAAGAUUUAUUGCUUGGGGAUGGGCUCGCGUCCCAUUAGCUAGUUGGUGAGGUAACGGCUCACCAAGGCGAUGAUGGGUAGCUGGUCUGAGAGGAUGGUCAGCCACACUGGGACUGAGACACUGCCCAGACUCCUACGGGAGGCUGCAGUCGAGAAUCUUGGGCAAUGCGCGAAAGCCGUGACCCAGCAAUGCCGCGUGCGGGAUGAAGGUCUUCGGAUUGUAAACCGCUGUCACCCGGGACGAAAGUUGACUGUACCGGGGGAGGAAGCCACGGCUAACUACGUGCCAGCAGCCGC
rnacentral:rRNA from 1 species